AACGUUUCUAAUGUGUAAACAUCUUCCGAAAGCACAGGUGUCGAUUCGGGCCCCUUGCUGCCACAAGUGGUUCGAUUGUGCCGAAUGCCAUCGGGCUACUCAGGACCACGACCUGUUGAAGGUUUUUGAGAUCACAUUCGCGUGCAAGCGGUGCAAAAAGGUGUUUCGAAAAGACUUGAGAGAAUUCGAAGAGCAAGACGAGUAUUGUCCCUGGUGUGACAACCACUUCGCGAUUCCUCAAGAGAGGGCGAUGCCCAAAAUCGCCGUUUCUCUGGAGGGAACGGGACAGAUGGUUCGAGACGAGAGAGAGAGGGCGAGGCACAUCGACUCGAUUGAACGCAUGGGCGAAGGGCUGUUGUGACGUUGGAAGGUGUGGUCGAAUUUCGUAGCGAUAGGAUGUCAGACGGUUGUUCUGGUUUUACGCGUUUCGCUCGAUGCCUCGCGCGGUGUCAGAGCCGCCGCCCUUUUUUUUUUUGAAAUAAAUGCCGUUGAUAUUGAAGAAAGCGGCGAGAUCGGGUUCACUUGAAACCUGAGCAGA